UACAGAGGGGGCAAGCGUUGUUCGGAAUUACUGGGCGUAAAGGGCGCGUAGGCGGCCCUCUAAGUCGGACGUGAAAUCCCCGGGCUCAACCCGGGAACUGCGUCCGAUACUGGAGGGCUUGAAUCCGGGAGAGGGAUGCGGAAUUCCAGGUGUAGCGGUGAAAUGCGUAGAUAUCUGGAGGAACACCGGUGGCGAAGGCGGCAUCCUGGACCGGCAUUGACGCUGAGGCGCGAAAGCCAGGGGAGCAAACGGG
rnacentral:rRNA from 1 species